GAUUGGUUUUGCUGGAAAAGGGUACAGGCGCCGCGUAAACUAUGCUCUACCAGUCAUGUAUUGGUAGAGCUCGCAUGGAAACGCGGCCCUCAAAGUAACAUACGCGAUGCGCGUGUGUGUGGUCACCUAAUCCUGAGGAGCUCCAAGGGAAAAGAAGGGACAGGCCAAAAAGGCAAACAACGAGGACAAAAAAGGCUCUCGGGACUAACUCCGGAUAAGUUCACAAGCAGGGAAGUAGAUAUCAAUAUAUAUAUAAUAAAGGUACACAUGUAUUUAAAUUUUCCUAAAUUUCAGCCACUAUUGGGCCGGGCCUGGAGGCAAUGAUAGCCCGGGCGGAAAACUUCUCGCCGGAGGCCAGCAGUGAUCCGGAUCUCCACACAGGAAAAAGGCAAGAUUCGGCUGCCAGACAAAAUGGCGAUACUUCUCAGCGCCGCGAUGCGACCGCUGGAAGUUCCCGAGAUGAGGACGCGGCACACCGGAACGGACUCACCGGGAAAUUCUUGAUGUUGUCGGCGUCGACUGUGAAAGGCUUCUCUUGCUGGUCGUUGAUACGGGUCGAACGAACACCGUUUGCUGGGCAGCCAAGUCGGACUGGCAGGUAUGGCGAAGUCGCGCAGAUGUCAGCAGAACUCCAAAUAAAUAUUCCGGGGCCCUUUGUAUUGGGACCCCGGCUGCCUUUAUAAAUUAUAAAUAUUAAACACUGAACUACUAUCUAA